rnacentral:rRNA from 1 species
GUAACAGGAAACAGCUUGCUGUUUCGCUGACGAGUGGCGGACGGGUGAGUAAUGUCUGGGAAACUGCCUGAUGGAGGGGGAUAACUACUGGAAACGGUAGCUAAUACCGCAUAACGUCGCAAGACCAAAGAGGGGGACCUUCGGGCCUCUUGCCAUCGGAUGUGCCCAGAUGGGAUUAGCUAGUAGGUGGGGUAACGGCUCACCUAGGCGACGAUCCCUAGCUGGUCUGAGAGGAUGACCAGCCACACUGGAACUGAGACACGGUCCAGACUCCUACGGGAGGCAGCAGUGGGGAAUAUUGCACAAUGGGCGCAAGCCUGAUGCAGCCAUGCCGCGUGUAUGAAGAAGGCCUUCGGGUUGUAAAGUACUUUCAGCGGGGAGGAAGGGAGUAAAGUUAAUACCUUUACUCAUUGACGUUACCCGCAGAAGAAGCACCGGCUAACUCCGUGCCAGCAGCCGCGGUAAUACGGAGGGUGCAAGCGUUAAUCGGAAUUACUGGGCGUAAAGCGCACGCAGGCGGUUUGUUAAGUCAGAUGUGAAAUCCCCGGGCUCAACCUGGGAACUGCAUCUGAUACUGGCAAGCUUGAGUCUCGUAGAGGGGGGUAGAAUUCCAGGUGUAGCGGUGAAAUGCGUAGAGAUCUGGAGGAAUACCCGGUGGCGAAGGCG